rnacentral:rRNA from 1 species
UGGCGGACGGGUGAGUAACACGUAAGAAUUUGCCUUUAGGAGGGGGAUAACAACUGGAAACGGUUGCUAAUACCCCAUAUGCUUUCGAGUAAAAUGGAUUUUUCCGCCUAAAGAGAAGCUUGCGGCUGAUUAGCUUGUUGGUGAGGUAAUGGCUUACCAAGGCGACGAUCAGUAGCUGGUCUGAGAGGAUGAUCAGCCACACUGGGACUGAGACACGGCCCAG